AACAAAAGCUUCAUCAAAGGAGUUCAACCACAAUUGUCAAAAGCUUCACACACUCUUGAUCAAGACAGUGUGAAGCAAAACCAAUUUAUGGUGCCAACAAAAGUUUCAUCAAUGGAGGGCAACUACAAUUCUCAGACCUUCGAAGCAAAUUCAAUUUAUAUGGUUCAUCCAAACCUUCGACUACUACAAGGUGUGGCUUACAUCACAAUCUCUUGCUCAACAGUGUGGAAGCAAAAUUUGUAUAUGUUGUCUCUCCCAUAUUUUCAAAUUUCUAGAUUCCCAAAAAAAAAAAAAAAAAAAAAAAGGGAAAUUCCACAAAGCUUCGUCAAUGGAGGACAACUAACAAAUUCUCAAAAGCUUCACACUAUCUUGAUCAAGAUAGUGUGAAGCAAAAUCAAUUCAU
rnacentral:lncRNA from 1 species